rnacentral:rRNA from 1 species
AAUCAAGUGCCUUAAGGGUGUUCGGUGGAUGCCUUGGCGCUGAGAGGCGAUGAAGGACGUGCUACGCUGCGAUAAGCCGUGGGGAGCUGCGAAGAAGCUUUGAUCCGCGGAUUUCCGAAUGGGGAAACCCACCUUCGAUAGCCGGAACUCCAAGACCUUUGGUCACUGACCAAUGAUUUUGGGGUUCGAUUGGGAGACCGAGAGGAUUUGAGGCCGUGAGGUCUUGGAUUUCCGGUUAUCAAGAGAAGGUAUGAGACUUCUGAAUCCAUAGGAGGUUUCAAGCGAACCCAGGGAACUGAAACAUCUAAGUACCUGGAGGAAAGGACAUCAACAGAGACUCCGCUAGUAGUGGCGAGCGAACGCGGACCAGGCCAGUCAUGAAUGUGAGACAACCAGAACCUGUCAGGAAAGCAGGGCCUCAGAGGGUGAUAGCCCCGUAUGGGUAAUGCGAACAUUCAUGCUCGAGUACGGCGG